UGCAAGGUUGGGCGUGAGCAUGUUUGGAGGGGGGUUAAAGGGCUGAGAAGACUCGCUCUACGUCUCUCGCAAGACAGCCAUGGUGGUCUAAUUCAGAGCAUGGACACAGACAAACAUACUUAGCAGGAGGGGGGUGGCCUACAGUUGCUCAGUGACACACACACACGCACACACACACACACACACACACACUCACAAGAAGCAAGACCCUGAGGAGAAACCUGGAGGUUCACAACAUUUUUGGGAUUUAAUUUGAGUUUGGUUGGAAGACUUUAUUCACUGUGUGGCUCUUGGAUAACCUGCGUGGAUAUUUAAUGAAUCUGGUUGCUGCACCUGUGGGAGGCGACACAUGUUUUGGUAAUCGAGUUUGAGGAGACUCGGUGAACAAGAAGAGCGACAGAUUGACAAGAACAAACAAGCAGACACACAUAAAAACAAAAAAACAAAAACAAAGCUCUUGUUUGUGUUGACAGACGAGGAGGCGAGAUGUCGAGGCCUCCUUCCUCCCAGACCACUCCUCAGUUCUACAGGGUCAGCGAAAGAGAUCUCACCGAGAUCGAGCUACAUUCUGUGGAUUCUAUCAACGACCUCCACCGAACACACCCUGAACACAGCCACAAAGGGGUGAGGCCUCCUCGUCCUGCUUACUCCCCCUCCUCGAAUGGGAAUCUCUACACAAGUGACAUGACAGCUGUCAAUCAAAGAGGGCGUCCAGUUAGCAGCAAAUGGCAGAGUCGUCUACAGGAUAUGUUGACGCCGAGCUCAUCGCGUGCCUAUGCCAUGGGCUGUGCUAUUAUCACUUUGCUUCUGCUAACAGUGUUACUCAUCUUCUACUUUUUGGUCCAGCAGGGCGGCGCAGUCCGGAUGCUGACUGAGGCAGUGAGGGAGAAAGAGGCCGCAGCCACAGAGCUGUCACUGCUGAUCCAAGAACUGCAGGCACUGAGACACAACCUGACAGCCAUGAGAGGAGGGACAUAAUAUGCACAGAAGACUAAACAUGCACAUGUAUACAACACACACUGGACAUGACACGCUUUAAAUUGCAGUAAAACUGGGUCUUACGGUGGAUUUUUUCCUAAAUGUUGUCUGUGUUUCAAGAUAAAAUGUAACUUAUGAAAGCAUGUCAUACCUGUCAACAUUGGAAUUUCAAAAUAAGGGACAUUUUCUGGCGGACUCCGCCCAUACCUUAACAGCUCUCAGCCUCCCAGCCCCUACCCAUAUAAUGUAAAUGUAAACACAUAAAGGACAUUCAGGAAUACAUGUUUAUUUAAAGUAUCUAUUACUUGUACAGACAUGUUUAUAAGAUGUAUUUAUUUUAUUUGUUAGUUAUUAUCAUCAAUGUAUUUGAUGAUGGAUGAGUUGUGUGGCUUUUGUUUCCCCCCCACGAGGACUUCCUUGCGAUGUCAGAGUCAGGAAACAUGUCCGCGACACUGCGACUGAAAUCAUCGCAGAAGCUGAAGGCUACAUUAUUGUUGGCGCAAAGCAUCGACAUCUUUCCCUCAGCUUUGGUCACUUGGUCUGCCUCCGACACAGUUCUUGUCACACAUGAAGUCAUUGACAGUGUAUGUUUUGUGCCUCGUGCUUGUGCUUGGACGAUUGUUCGUGCUGACGAACAUCGCUUAUUCCGUCGUGUGCGAUGCUAACAUCUGAAUGGCACACUUUACAAAAAGCACGAGUUUGCCCGACUAUGCUUUUUAUUAAAUAAGGGAAGGUCUCCAAUCAUUUGUUCAGGUACUUGCAUAAAGUUUGAACUUGUUUGGAAGAUACAACUGCGUCUCCAUCUAUCUCCCGUUCACUGUGACUCUCAUCCAUAUGUUUCGUCUUCUUCUGUGUUAUUGGUCCUGUUUUCUUCUUCUGUGUGUUUACUGGCACAUAACGUUUUUCAGCUAAAGUUAAACAUAAUACUGCCACCUGCUCUACCGGAGGUCACUUUACCACUGUACACCAGGGGUGGGCAAUUAAUGUUAGCAGAGGGCCUCAUGAGAAACUGGGACUGUUGUGGAGGGCCGGACCAACAGGCUGAUCUACCUGCAGACAGAUUGAUUUCUGGAAAUUGACUCGUGGGCCGCACAAAGUGAUGUAUAAAUGGUAUGUCCAUUCUGAUAACUGUGUUACUAAAUAUCUGUAUUCUGUCAACGAAAUUAGCUCCUGAGCAAAUACCAGGUGUAAUAACUACAGCACAGCACAUAUUAAUAUUCAUACUCAAGCAGCAUGCGCUAUAUCUUUUUUAUAUUUUCUCCUAAGCAGCAGGGAGAGAAAGGUUUACUGAGGAAAGUUCUCGAGAAAGACAACUUUGAAGGAAAUACAAGCUAUUUCCUUGACAUCUUAUACAACUGUUGCUUAUUUAUAUUGAGAUUAUAGUUAUCGUGAAUUCUUUUUGCCACGAUAUAUUGACAGCCCUGAUAUAAAUGCUAUAUAUAUAUAUAUAUAUAUAUAUAUAUAUAAAAUAACAUAUUCAUUUAAAAAUCUAUAUUAUGUUUUAAUUUUUUUUCUAUUCACGGCAGCACCCGCUGCUCAUUGAGGACAGUAACUGCAGAACGAUAAGUCACAGUCUCCAAAACAACAGAAAAGUCUCCAAUAACACCAGCAAAAGAUUUGUCACUAGUAGCUUUUGACAAAAAAAAAGUCGCCAAGAGGGUUUGGAAAGUCGCUAGAUUUAGCGAGAAAGUUGCCAAGUUGGCAACACUGAAUUUGUGUGGUGCGUGGCACGGAUUCUAUUUAGUUCCCUCCUCUCCUCCGCUCUGUCUCUGACUGUAAGUGUAUGCGCAGUGUGUGUGUGUGUGUGUGUGCCCC
ensembl:lncRNA